rnacentral:tRNA from 1 species
UGAGCCAUAGUGAAAGGGUAUCACGCUAAGUUUACUGAAGGGUUUACUUAGAGAUACUGGUUCGAAUCCAGUUGGCUCAA